rnacentral:rRNA from 1 species
AUGGCGUACGCCGCGUUGAUCGAGACGAGGCGUCUGGCAGCUGUGCCAGAGACGUUGAUGAGCAUCAUGUGGCCGGCGCCGUGCUACUUCGUGCUGGGCGCGGCCGAGGUGUUCACCAGCAUCGGCAUGCUCGAGUUCUUCUACGACCAGUCCCCAGGGUCCAUGAAGAGCCUGGGCGCGGAGCUUGCGCAGCUCGCCAUCGCUGGCGGCAGCCACCUCAACUCCGCCCUUCUCGGCGCCGUCGCAUCGGCCAUGGGGUGGAUCCCGGACAACCUCGACCAAGGCCACCUCGACUACUUCUACUGGUUCAUGGCUGCUCUUAGCGCGCUCAACCUGUUGCAGUUCGUCUACUGCUCAACCAGAUAG